rnacentral:rRNA from 1 species
CGAAGGGUGCAAGCGUUACUCGGAAUUACUGGGCGUAAAGCGUGCGUAGGUGGUUCGUUAAGUCUGUCGUGAAAUCCCCGGGCUCAACCUGGGAAUGGCGAUGGAUACUGGCAAGCUAGAGUGAGGUAGAGGAGAGUGGAAUUCCCGGUGUAGCAGUGAAAUGCGUAGAGAUCGGGAGGAACAUCAGUUGCGAAGGCGGCUCUCUGGACCAUCACUGACACUGAGGCACGAAAGCGUGGGGAGCAAACAGGAUUAGAUACCCUGGUAGUCCACGCCCUAAACGAUGCGAACUGGACGUUGGGCUCAAUUAGGAGCUCAGUGUCGAAGCUAACGCGUUAAGUUCGCCGCCUGGGGAGUACGGUCGCAAGACUG